UUUGUACUCCCUCCAUCCGUAAAUACUUAUCAUCAAAAUUGAUAAAAGGAGAUGUAUCUAGACGUAUUUUAGUUCCAGAUACAUCUCCUUUUAUCCAUUUUGAUGACAAGUAUUUUCGGACGGAGGGAGUAAUAA
rfam:Triticum aestivum genome assembly, contig: Triticum_aestivum_CS42_TGACv1_scaffold_129314_2BL